ensembl:lncRNA
GAGUCAGAAACACUCAGGAUGGGACCUAGCAGUCUGUGUUUUAACAAGUCCUCCAGGUGAUUCUGAUGCUAGCUUAGCAGUGGAGAACCAUGGCUUUAAAGCAGCGAUGAGGACAGUUGCUGCUGCUGCUUCUGCUAAGUUGCUUCAGUCGUGUUCGACUCUGCGACCCUAUGGACGACAGCCCACCAGGCUCCCCCGUCCCUGUGAUUCUCCAGGCAAGAACACUGAAGUGGGUUGCCAUUUUCUUCUCCAGUGCAUGAAAGUGAAAAGUGAAGGUGAAAUCGCUCAGUCGUGUCUGACUCUUAGCGACCGCAUGGACUGCAGGCUAUCAGGCUCCUCCGGCCAUGGGAUUUUCCAGGCAAGAGUACUGGAGUGGGGUGCCAUUGCCUUCUCCGGAUGAGGAGAGUAGAACACAGCUAAACUUUUGUGCUGUAAAUGCUACUUCAGAAUUAUAAACUCCAAUGUGAUAAAAUUGGCUGGGAAUCACUUGCUCUGGAACUUCUUAGGAGUAUGAGACUGGGGUGUGUUAACGUGGAGCUGGAGUUUUCCAAAGGAGCUACCAUAAUCUGUGGACUCAAUGAUCCGUUAAUGACACCUGAAUGCUCACAGCAGAGCCCACCUCCACCUGCUGCUGCUCAUGGCUGGCCCGGUGAGGAUGCAGGUGCAUGAACAGCUCAGUUUUAUGAAGUGUGGAAAAAAAAAAACACACAAUGUUUAAAGAAUCUGCAUUUUGGAUUUGACAUUAAUAGAUCAUUGAACUGUUACUUUUGGCCAGUAUUGUUGAAGAGAUUGACUAUUGAUCAGUUAUUAAAAUUUACAUUCAUGGAAGAAUUCCUAGAUAACAGCAGAAACUAACGAAGAACUGUACCUUCAUGUCUGAGUUCUACUAACUGUUGCUAGCAGCCUGGCAGUGUGUGUCUACAAUGCUUGUCCUACAGUUUUCAACUAAUCAACUGUCACAGAUACAUCACCAUGAGAAGGAAACAAGUAGCUUUUUUUCUCUGGCUCACUGGGCAUACCAUGAAGGUGGUCAGAGCCCUGGCCCUCUCCUCUCCCCACCCCUUCUCCUGGAGUCUUCAUCCCGUGGCCUACAUCUGUGCACUUUAGCUGCAUACGGCUAUUUCAAUUAAAAAUUUUUUUUUCCAUUCAUAUAAACAUUUAUUUGCUAUUUGAACUUCGGAAUUGACUUCAAAUGAGCAUUGGAAGAUAACAAAUCAAUAUAGAUGCUUUGUAGUAUAAUUUUCCAAAUAACUUGUUAAGAUCUUUUUUAUAAAAUUAGCUGGGACAGCCCAAAUGUGGCAUUUUAUGUAGCCAGAAGAAAUUGCUUUUUGGAUGAAUGAUAACAUGGCAGAAUGUUUUCACAUAGCAAAAUUGUUUAAUCGUUUAAUAAAAAAGAAAAGCAUACAAAAUGAAAAAAAAAAAAAAAAACCCAAACACAUUUUAACUGGCUUAAUCUCACUGGGCAAUUGCUGGGGAGUUCUUCGUUUUCUCUCCAAUCUAUUUGACUUUACUGAUUUUUGACAUUUUAAUUCUUCCUCAGCAUUCUGAGAAAUGCUUUCCCAUUAGAAGCACUGAUCCUGGCUUCUAUACUCCUGGGUGAGGUAUUGUAAUCAUCUGUUUAAACAGGCCACCAUAUCCACACCCCAGUAGGAAGGCGAGAAUCAAGGGAGGUUUUCUGGAUUAUCU